UCGCCUGUUUAAACAAAAACAUGGUUUUAGAGUUGAGGUUGUAAAAUUUGGCCUGCCCACUGAGAUAUCAUUAAAGGGCCGCGGUAUUUUGACCGUGCAAAGGUAGCAUAAUCAUUAGUCUUUUAAUUGAAGGCUGGAAUGAACGGUUUCACGAGGUAUUAACUGUCUCUUGAUAAGAAUUUGAAGUUAACUUUUUAGUAAAAAGGCUAAAAUGAAAUUGGAGGACGAGAAGACCCUAUAGAGCUUUAUAUUAAUUUUUAAUUUUAAAUUUGUAGAAGUUGUUUAUAACUAUAAUUAUUAAUAUUUGAUUGGGGUGAUUUGAAGAUUUAAUAAACUCUUUAUGAUUAAUAACAUAAAUGAAUGGGUGAUUGAUCCAUUUUUAGUGAUUAUAAGAUUAAGUUACCUUAGGGAUAACAGCGUAAUU
rnacentral:rRNA from 1 species